UCCAGUAAGAGGGUAUUAUUGAGAGGCUACUUUGUUGUUGGGCUUGUAAUAAGUUAUCAAAGUACAACCAACACCCAGCCAUGCACAUCUGAAUAGAUGAUUAGCGUAUCAAUCUUUCCUCCAAAAACUAACCAUUCUAAAAGUAUUACUAUUAACUCUGAAAUCAUGUGUGAAAAAUUAACAUUAGAAAAUUAAAAUGUUCCUCAGUCCACAGCUAAUCAAACGAUCAAGUAGAAAGCAUGAACCUAAACUAUUCUAUAUCAACCAGCCCCAAUUAAUGGCCAAAUCUUCACUGCCCAGGACAAUUUCACAAAAAAAAUCAUAUGGUCAUAGCAUUUAGUUUUAAGCUUAACCUAAAAAAAAAAAAAAAAAAGCCUUAACCGAAGGUGGGAAAAAAAAAACCAACCACAGAAUUCUUAAAGUCACGUUAUACCUAAAAAUAAUAAAAAAAUAAAAAAAUAAAGUCACGUUAUACCUCAAAACAUUUAACCAAAUAAGCAAAUCAAAAUUAAGAAGCAUUUGUUUGACUAAGGGAACAAACAUAGCAUUUAACUGGAGAAGAAAAGGAACGAGAAAAAUCAGAUCAAUCAUAAUAUUGAACAAUAGAUAAACAUGGACCUUUUAUUAAUUUGCAAAAUUGUCAACAGCUCCGACCGGUAUACAAAGACGAGCACGCUGCAUCUGAAGAUGAGUAAGACCUGGAGCUCUACACCUCACUCGACCGCGGAACCAAUGCCGGCAACCUUGACAGAACUCGAACUGAAAAUUUUCCGGCGACAUCGAUUUCGAGCGCAGAGUUUCAAUGCAAGAUUUCAGAGCUAAAACAGUGACCUUUUGGUGUAAAUUUCUAGCUGGCACGAGAUGGAUUUAUAGGAGGAGAAGUUGAAGUGUUGAUGGCUGUUUUUGGGACUUUUUGGUGUGGGAAUUUCAGCUGGGUUUUCAGAGCUUUAACAUGGGUUUGGGGUUGGUUUGAGCUCGAGUUUUAGAGCUGAAAAUGGUGGUGCUCAUGGUGUUGCUGCUCGGCUGGAGCUCGUUUUUCCGGCGAGCUGCUGGAGCUCAUCUUUCCGGCGAGCUGCUGGAGGAGGAAGACGAAGAGAGCAGCAACUGGUCCUUUUGUGCUUAAAACUCUCUUUUGGUCUUUAGCGUUAGGUCUCUAAGGUUCAAAUGGCUGCCCUUUUUUUUGUUUUCUCCUUUAGAAGAUGAAGACAGCUCUUGAAAUGUGAAAAGAAGCCUAGAAUUAGAGUGC
rnacentral:lncRNA from 1 species